rnacentral:rRNA from 1 species
UACGUAGGGCGCAAGCGUUAUCCGGAAUUAUUGGGCGUAAAGAGCUCGUAGGCGGUUUGUCGCGUCUGCCGUGAAAGUCCGGGGCUCAACUCCGGAUCUGCGGUGGGUACGGGCAGACUAGAGUGAUGUAGGGGAGACUGGAAUUCCUGGUGUAGCGGUGAAAUGCGCAGAUAUCAGGAGGAACACCGAUGGCGAAGGCAGGUCUCUGGGCCGAUACUGACGCUGAGGCGCGAAAGCGUGGGGAGCAAACAGG